CAUAUUCUCUCUUUAGUAGAUAUAAGUAUUUGUUAAAACAUUCUAGUGGAGAUUCCUUCAACAAUAGAUAGCAAAAUAGAAAGCUGCUCAAGAAUAUCAAAAGUUUAAAAGUAAACAGGAACUUCUUUGUUGGAGAUAUUCCUUUACACAUGCAGCAGGAAUUUAAACAGUUUAUGUUGCUAAAAUAACUUUUAAAUGGACACUAGAUAAAGUAUCAGGUGUGUAUAUGCAGUACCUGACAUAUGCCAAAACACACAUGGAUAAAAUUAUGAGGCCUGAGACAUUUUCAGGCUUCAGUGAUUUACACACUGCAGAAUGAAUGGUGCUCACAGAGAAACCCUAUUGAUGUGUAAAUUUUUUGAUGGUAUAAACCUCAUGGACUUGAUGGCAAAUGGUGGAAAACAGUGGCAUUCUCCAUAGAUAGAGAAACUAAAAUUGCAGAGUCAUCAGCAUAUAAUAACAAUUUAUGUUUGACUACAGCUGACAUGUCAUUCACGUAAAUUAAAAACAAAAGAGGGCCAAGGAUGGAGCCUUGAGGCACUCCACAAGAUAUGUUAGCAUAAGGUGAAUGCGUCCCUGUCACAUCUACAAUUUGGCGCCUGUCGGACAAAUAUGAAGAAAACCAAUUAACAGAAGAUUCUGCAAGUCCAAGAGCUUCUAGCUUUGUUAAAAGAAUGGUGUGAUUAACAGUAUCAAAGGCUUUUUGUAGGUCGAUUAGCACCAUGCCAACAAAAUGAGAUUUAUCCAUCUGAAAUCGUAUAAAAUCGGUCAAAUGUAAGAGACAAGUUUCUGUAGAGAACUUGCGUCUGAAACCAGAUUGAUAAUCAUACAACAAAUUCUUACUUGUCAGGUAACCUUCAACUUGGUCGUAAAUAACUCUCUCUAAGACCUUUGAUAAAAUACAUAGAAUAGAAACAGGGCGAUAAUUGCCAACAUCAGUUUUAUCAUUCUUUUUGUAAAGUGGAACUACACGUGCUAAUUUCAAAUCAUCAGGGACAACACCUUGAAUGAUUGAUAAGUUAAUAAUAUGUGACAACGGAUGUGCAAUAAUUUCACAGGAAUCCUUCACAAAUCUUGAGGGAAUACCAUCAAGUCCAGUGGCCUUUUUUGUACCAAGAGAUUUAAUAUAUUUUAAAACAGUACUUUCAGAUACAAUGCCAAAACGGAAAUUAUCUGGUUUCACUCCCUUUGAUGAGUAGAAAUUAAAAACAAAAUUCCUACCAAAUUUAUCAAUGACCUUUGGUAAUUUUGCAACAAGCUUACUAGCAAUAGAAGUAUAAAAGGAAUUAAAACGUUCAGCAAUCAUCGAUUUGUCAAAACACAGUUCAUUAUCAAUAAACAAGCCAAUAUUACUAUAUUACAUGCUGGUUGGUGGAGAUAUAUCUAUGGCAAACGGUGGCAUUUAGAGAAAAACAGUGGCCUAUUUUACACUGAUUGCCACAACAGUUAUGGUGGCAAAUAGUUGAAAAUUUUAGUGGCAAAUGGUGAAAUACGUUCCAAUACUCCACUGAUAGUGGCAUUCAAUGGAAAGCAAUGGCAGUUUUUACAUCAAUAUGUGACAGUGGCAAACAGUGAAAAACUUUAAUGGCAAAUAGUGAAAAAUGUUCCAAUACUCCACUGAUACUGGCAUUUGAUGGAAAAUGGUGGAAAAUUUUGACUGGCCUUUCCAUCCUCUAUUUUUUCAAUGUUUUCCAUCAGUUUCCACUCAAAGAGGCUUGUUCCAAUACUCCACUGUUUUCCAAUGAUUUUUCAGUGGGAAAUGGUGGCAAAUUUACAGAAGGGAGAGUGACAGACGGUGUUGUUGUUACAUUGACUCGAAUAUACCUGAUAUCACUGUUCCUGCGGAUAAAAAAGAGCCAUUUAAAUGUCAUAUGGUCAUGGUCCCAAUUACUAGAUAUAUGAACUUGUUUUCACCGAGAUCAUUAAAAAGGGCGUUUUUAGCUCACUUGAACUGAAGUUUCAGGGUGAGCUAUUAGUAUAGGGUGGAUGGUCGGGUGUCCGUCGUCCACAGUUUUACUUAAACAUCAUUUCUGAAACUACUGGUCAGAAUAACACCAAAUUUGGUCUGUAGCAUCCUGGUGAGG